rnacentral:rRNA from 1 species
GGGGAAUUUUCCGCAAUGGGCGAAAGCCUGAUGGAGCAAUACCGCGUGAGGGAAGAAGGACCGUGGUUUGUAAACCUCUUUUCUCAAGGAAGAAAUCAAUGACGGUACUUGAGGAAUAAGCACCGGCUAACUCUGUGCCAGCAGCCGCGGUAAUACAGGGGGUGCAAGCGUUGUCCGGAAUGAUUGGGCGUAAAGCAUCUGUAGGCGGUUUUUCAAGUCAACUGUCAAAUCCCAGAGCUUAACUUUGGACAGGCAGUUGAGUACUUAAAGACUCGAGUAUGGUAGGGGUAGAGGGAAUUCCUAGUGGAGCGGUGAAAUGCACAGAGAUUAGGAAGAACACCAGUGGCGAAAGCGCUCUACUGGGCCAUGACUGACGCUGAGAGAUGAAAGUUGGGGGAGCGAAAAGGAUUAGAUACCCCUGUAGUC